GACGAACGCUGGCGGUGUGCUUAACACAUGCAAGUGGUGCGACGAACCAGAGCUUGCUCUGGGGCAAAGCCGCGAACGGGUGAGUAACACGUGGGUAAUCUACCCCGAUGACCGGGACAACCCGAGGAAACUCGGGCUAAUACCGGAUGUGGUACGGAGACAUAAGUCUCUUUACUAAAGGUAGCUUCGGCUUCCGCAUUGGGAGGGGCCCGCGGCCCAUUAGCUAGUUGGUGGGGUCAAGGCCUACCAAGGCAACGAUGGGUAGCUGGUCUGAGAGGACGAUCAGCCACACUGGGACUGAGACACGGCCCAGACUCCUACGGGAGGCAGCAGUGGGGAAUCUUGCGCAAUGCGCGAAAGCGUGACGCAGCAACACCGCGUGAGGGAAGACGGCCUUAGGGUUGUAAACCUCUUUCAGAUGGGACGAAGGUGAUGCGGUGAAUAGCCGAUGUCAUUGAC
rnacentral:rRNA from 1 species